UGCGUAGGUGGUUGUUUAAGUCUGUCGUGAAAGCCCUGGGCUCAACCUGGGAACUGCGAUGGAAACUGGGCGACUAGAGUGUGGUAGAGGGUAGCGGAAUUCCUGGUGUAGCAGUGAAAUGCGUAGAUAUCAGGAGGAACAUCCAUGGCGAAGGCAGCUACCUGGGCCAACACUGACACUGAGGCACGAAAGCGUGGGAGCAAACA
rnacentral:rRNA from 1 species